rnacentral:rRNA from 1 species
AGUGAACGCUGGCGGUAGGCCUAACACAUGCAAGUCGAACGGCAGCACAGUAAGAGCUUGCUCUUACGGGUGGCGAGUGGCGGACGGGUGAGGAAUACAUCGGAAUCUACUUUUUCGUGGGGGAUAACGUAGGGAAACUUACGCUAAUACCGCAUACGACCUACGGGUGAAAGCAGGGGAUCUUCGGACCUUGCGCGAUUGAAUGAGCCGAUGUCAGAUUAGCUAGUUGGCGGGGUAAAGGCCCACCAAGGCGACGAUCCGUAGCUGGUCUGAGAGGAUGAUCAGCCACACUGGAACUGAGACACGGUCCAGACUCCUACGAGAGGCAGCAGUCGGGAAUAUUGGACAAUGGGCGCAAGCCUGAUCCAGCCAUACCGCGUGGGUGAAGAAGGCCUUCGGGUUGUAAAGCCCUUUUGUUGGGAAAGAAAAGCAGCAGGUUAAUACCCCGCUGUUCUGACGGUACCCAAAGAAUAAGCACCGGCUAACUUCGUG